UACAGAGGGUGCGAGCGUUAAUCGGAAUUACUGGGCGUAAAGCGUGCGUAGACGGUUAUUUAAGUCGGGUGUGAAAGCCCCGGGCUCAACCUGGGAAUUGCAUUCGAGACUGAAUAGCUAGGGUACGGUAGAGGGAAGCGGAAUUUCCGGUGUAGCGGUGAAAUGCGUAGAUAUCGGAAGGAACACCAGUGGCGAAAGGCGGACUUCCUGGUCCAGCACCGACGUCAGGCACGAAAGCGUGGGGAGCAAACAG
rnacentral:rRNA from 1 species